rnacentral:rRNA from 1 species
GUGAGGAAUAUUGGUCAAUGGGCGUUAGCCUGAACCAGCCAAGUAGCGUGAAGGAUGAAGGCUCUAUGGGUCGUAAACUUCUUUUAUAUAAGAAUAAAGUGCAGUAUGUAUACUGUUUUGUAUGUAUUAUAUGAAUAAGGAUCGGCUAACUCCGUGCCAGCAGCCGCGGUAAUACGGAGGAUCCGAGCGUUAUCCGGAUUUAUUGGGUUUAAAGGGAGCGUAGGUGGACUGGUAAGUCAGUUGUGAAAGUUUGCGGCUCAACCGUAAAAUUGCAGUUGAUACUGUCAGUCUUGAGUACAGUAGAGGUGGGCGGAAUUCGUGGUGUAGCGGUGAAAUGCUUAGAUAUCACGAAGAACUCCGAUUGCGAAGGCAGCUCACUGGACUGCAACUGACACUGAUGCUCGAAAGUGUGGGUAUCAAACAGGAUUAGAAACCCUAGUAGUCC